rnacentral:miRNA from 1 species
AUCACCUGCGGAUCUCGUUAAAUGCAGAUUCUGAUUUGGGAGGUCUGGGGUGGGGCCUGAGAGUCUGCAUUUUUAACAAGUUCCCAGGUGAUCCA